AGCUAGUCUGAUGGUAAUGGGUUAUCAGAACUUAUUGACAUUAGUGUCACUAAAGUUGGUAUUCAACCCACCACUGAUAAAUUUGACUGGCUAAAA
rnacentral:Y_RNA from 1 species